CCUACGGGCUGCUGCAGUGGGGAAUAUUGCACAAUGGGGGAAACCCUGAUGCAGCGACGCCGCGUGAGUGAAGAAGUAUUUCGGUAUGUAAAGCUCUAUCAGCAGGGAAGAGAAUGACGGUACCUGAGUAAGACGCCCCGGCUAACUACGUGCCAGCAGCCGCGGUAAUACGUAGGGGGCAAGCGUUAUCCGGAUUUACUGGGUGUACAGGGAGCGUAGACGGCGAAGAAAGUCUGAAGUGAAAGCCCGCGGCUCAACCGCGGAACUGCUUUGGAAACUUUUUUGCUGGAGUACCGGAGAGGCAAGCGGAAUUCCGAGUGUAGCGGUGAAAUGCGUAGAUAUUAGGAGGAACACCAGUGGCGAAGGCGGCUUACUGGACGGUAACUGACGUUGAGGCUCGAAAGCGUGGGGAGCAAACAGGAUUAGAUACCCCAGUAGUC
rnacentral:rRNA from 1 species